UACCGCACCAAGCUUUCCAUUGCCCCCAAUCAUAGCCUGGGGCUUUGGAUAAAAAGUUGUGGUUAUAGCGAACUUUCAUUUGCGAUUAAACUGCUUGCGGAUUCAAUAUCCGUUCCGCUAGCGGUUAACAACUCUUGGAACA
rnacentral:snoRNA from 2 species